UACGUAGGUGGCGAGCGUUGUCCGGAUUUACUGGGCGUAAAGAGCGCGCAGGCGGCUGGUCAAGUCCGAUGUGAAAGCUCCCGGCUUAACUGGGAAAUUGCAUCGGAAACUGAUCGGCUGGAAGGUGGGAGAGGGUAGCGGAAUUCCCGGUGUAGCGGUGAAAUGCGUAGAUAUCUGGAGGAACACCGGUGGCGAAGGCGGCAUCCUGGACCGGCAUUGACGCUGAGGCGCGAAAGCCAGGGGAGCAAACGGG
rnacentral:rRNA from 1 species